AGACCCGAAACCCGGUGAUCUAGCCAUGGGCAGGUUGAAGGUUGGGUAACACUAACUGGAGGACCGAACCGACUAAUGUUGAAAAAUUAGCGGAUGACCUGUGGCUGGGGGUGAAAGGCCAAUCAAACCGGGAGAUAGCUGGUUCUCCCCGAAAGCUAUUUAGGUAGCGCCUCGUGAAUUCAUCUCCGGGGGUAGAGCACUGUUUCGGCUAGGGGGCCAUCCCGGCUUACCAACCCGAUGCAAACUGCGAAUACCGGAGAAUGUUAUCACGGGAGACACACGGCGGGUGCUAACGUCCGUCGUGAAGAGGGAAACAACCCAGACCGCCAGCUAAGGUCCCAAAGUCAUGGUUAAGUGGGAAACGAUGUGGGAAGGCCCAGACAGCCAGGAUGUUGGCUUAGAAGCAGCCAUCAUUUAAAGAAAGCGUAAUAGCUCACUGGUCGAGUCGGCCUGCGCGGAAGAUGUAACGGGGCUAAACCAUGCACCGAAGCUGCGGCAGCGACACUCAGGUGUUGUUGGGUAGGGGAGCGUUCUGUAAGCCUGUGAAGGUGGCCUGUGAGGGUUGCUGGAGGUAUCAGAAGUGCGAAUGCUGACAUAAGUAACGAUAAAGCGGGUGAAAAGCCCGCUCGCCGGAAGACCAAGGGUUCCUGUCCAACGUUAAUCGGGGCAGGGUGAGUCGACCCCUAAGGCGAGGCCGAAAGGCGUAGUCGAUGGGAAACGGGUUAAUAUUCCCGUACUUGGUGUUACUGCGAAGGGGGGACGGAGAAGGCUAUGUUGGCCGGGCGACGGUUGUCCCGGUUUAAGCGUGUAGGUGUGUGUUCCAGGUAAAUCCGGUUCACUUUAACACUGAGGCGUGACGACGAGGCACUACGGUGCUGAAGCAACAAAUGCCCUGCUUCCAGGAAAAGCCUCUAAGCAUCAGGUAACAUCAAAUCGUACCCCAAACCGACACAGGUGGUCAGGUAGAGAAUACCAAGGCGCUUGAGAGAACUCGGGUGAAGGAACUAGGCAAAAUGGUGCCGUAACUUCGGGAGAAGGCACGCUGACAUGUAGGUGAAGUGAUUUACUCA
rnacentral:rRNA from 1 species